CCACUUUUUUUCCUAAUCAUUUGCUAAAAACUACCACUUUGAUUUAAGUACCGUUUUAAGCAUUUUAAUGUGAUUAUGACAGACUAGACCCAUCCGUCAGGACUGGAAAAGUCAGCACCGUUAACUUUGACCGUUAACAUGUGGGGCCCACAUGUCAGUUCUAUCCUCUUCCUCUAAAAUUCCCCAUGGAGGAUCUAGAUCAGGGGGUCCCGUCACCUGCGAGCUCCGGUGGCCAUCCUCUGCACCGGAGACCUCCCCUGCCUGUGGUUGUGCCCGUCGGGCACCACCACCUACGCCCGUGAGUGGCUUGCGGGGUGAGGGGAUGUGGAAGCCAAGGCAUGGAAAGGGCGGGGCGGCGGGCGCGUGCUGGCAGAGCUCCUGCCGCUGCGGAGAAAGAAGAGCUCGCCGGUGAGGCUCUUGUGGCCGAGGGGUUGCGGGCGUCGUGGGAGCCGCAGGGAGGAGUAGGAGGUCUUGGGCGAGACAGAGGAGGGGCAAUGGUGACAGCGCCAUGUACAAGAGUCCUCAGCCAUGGCGGCGCCCCUCACUUUGGUGGUCUCGGUCCGAUACGACGAGCAGAGGAUGGCGGCUGCUCGUGGUUGUGGCCUUGCGCCGCGCGGCGGUUGUGAAGCGCAUCGGGCCUGUUGCCGCCCGUCGAUGCGGACACCGGGUAGUAGCACGACUCGCCGACGGGAGGAUGGGAGGCACACUGCUCACCGGGGGAGGAGGGAGGGUCGCAGGGUGGUGGCUGGGUAGAUGGUUGGAGGAUGGAGGUGCUGAGGGGAAGGAGGUGGAGUGUGGCCUGAGCUGCGGCAUGGCGGCGCCCCUGAUCUGGAUCCUCGGUGGGGAAUUUCAGAGCAAGGAGAUGGAACUGGCAUAUGAGCCCCACAUAUUCACGGUCAAAGUAACGGUGUUGGCUAUUUCCGCAUUGAUGGGUGGGCCCAGCCUAUCAUAAUCGGGUUUAGUCCAUCACUUUUCAGACUUGGUAGUUUUUAGCAAAGGAUUAGGAAAAAAAUGGUAGUUUUUCGUACAAAAUCAUAAAGUGGUAGUUUCUGGGCACGUUUUCAUGAAAUGUGGUAGUUUUUGGUUAAAUACUCGCUUUAUCACCACUCGCCGGUUUGGUAAGUAAAAAUUGUGGUUCGAACUAUGCCUCGUUGAGCCAUCUGUGACUUAUGUCUCCAUUACAAAUGCAGCCAUAUGUGAUGGAGGGGAUGGAGAGGAUACCAGCCAUGCGAUUCUUAAGUUUUGCAAUGGGAAACUACAUGGUGUGGAUUUGGUUUGGUUGGCUCGGGGAUGAUCCUUUGGUGAUGUGGCCUAAUGUUACCGGUUUUAUCGUGUCAAUCGUCUUGCUGAUCCUACAUGUGGUGAUAUCUGGGUGGGCGAUGGAGUACAUGGCGCUUCCGCACAACGACUGAAUGUGAUGGGAUCUGGAGGCGGACUGAUGAAUGAUGAUGAUCGUGCAGGUCUUCAAUUCUCAAAUCAAUGGGAAAACAAUUAGGUCUCAUAUCUGUUGCUGCAAUGAAUGUUUCUUCCGGGGGCAAUCUGAACUUAGUCUGGAGUUACUAUUUUUCUAUGUUCUGAGACUUCAUUAGCCUAAAGCUAUUUUGCAUGGUCCAAAACAAGAAAAUGUAGUAGUUUUGCUCAGAUUUAGGAUGGAAGCCUAGAGCUAUUGCUAUGUUCUGAGAUUUGUUAAGCCUGAAUUAAUUCUUGUCUGAAUGUCUGGCGCACGGAUAGUAUGGUUUAGCCUUUCGCAACAACAAAAAAUGGAUAGUCUU